UCCUGUGACUGCGUACCUUUUGUAUAAUGGGUCAGCGACUUAUAUUCAGUGGCAAGGUUAACCAUCUAGGGGAGCCGUAGGGAAACCGAGUCUUAACUGGGCGUUCAGUCUCUGGAUAUAGACCCGAAACCAGGUGAUCUAGCCAUGGGCAGGUUGAAGGUUGAGUAACAUCAACUGGAGGACCGAACCGACUAAUGUUGAAAAAUUAGCGGAUGACUUGUGGCUAGGGGUGAAAGGCCAAUCAAACCUGGAGAUAGCUGGUUCUCCCCGAAAGCUAUUUAGGUAGCGCCUCGGACGAAUACUACUGGGGGUAGAGCACUGUUAAGGCUAGGGGGUCAUCCCGACUUACCAACCCUUUGCAAACUCCGAAUACCAGUAAGUACUAUCCGGGAGACACACGGCGGGUGCUAACGUCCGUCGUGGAGAGGGAAACAACCCAGACCGCCAGCUAAGGUCCCAAAUUACUACUAAGUGGGAAACGAUGUGGGAAGGCUCAGACAGCCAGGAUGUUGGCUUAGAAGCAGCCAUCAUUUAAAGAAAGCGUAAUAGCUCACUGGUCGAGUCGGCCUGCGCGGAAGAUGUAACGGGGCUAAGUAGUAAACCGAAGCUGCGGCAAUAUACUUUUGUAUAUUGGGUAGGGGAGCGUUCUGUAAGCGGUUGAAGGUGUGUGGUAACGCAUGCUGGACGUAUCAGAAGUGCGAAUGCUGACAUGAGUAACGAUAAAGGGGGUGAAAAACCUCCUCGCCGGAAGACCAAGGGUUCCUGUCCAACGUUAAUCGGGGCAGGGUAAGUCGACCCCUAAGGCGAGGCCGAAAGGCGUAGUCGAUGGGAAACGGGUUAAUAUUCCCGUACUUCUUACAAUUGCGAUGGGGGGACGGAGAAGGCUAGGUGGGCCUGGCGACGGUUGUCCAGGUUCAAGUG
rnacentral:rRNA from 1 species